CUAAGGCUUCUUCCUCUCGCGGCGGCGGCGAAGGCGUCUCUCCUCCUCCGGCGGCGACAAGGCAUCCGAGCUCAACAGCAAGCAACAAAUGGCAGGUGGCAGAAUUGCACAUGCUACCCUUAAGGGGCCCAGUGUGAUCAAGGAGAUCUGCAUUGGGCUCACUCUUGGGCUGGUCGCUGGUGGCCUGUGGAAGAUGCAUCACUGGAACGAGCAGAGGAAGACUAGAUCAUUCUACGACAUGCUCGAGAAGGGUCAGAUCAGUGUUGUCGUUGAGGAGUAGAUCUCGUGUGUCAAAUCUACUUCUGAUCUUUGUGUCUUUGUUUUUGCAAGUUGUUUCUGAAACUCUCUGGAGAGCAUGACAAAGUGAGUGCCGUGGAGAUUGUCAUGAAAAUAAGCAUAGCAAUUUGAGAACAUUUGAUCUAGUUGAAAAUUGCUUCUUUCCUUGUAUUAUCUUUAAUAUGCCUUUCAUACAUGUCAUAACAGCUUCAGGGAUUCAUACCCUGGCAUUAAUCUGAUUUAGAUUUUUGUUCUCUUCA